GAAUAUUCUGAGGUGCCAGGAAGGUCGGGAAGCUGUGGGGUGUCCCAUUGAUCCCAGGCAGAAUUCCAGGGAAUCCAUGGAAUGUCCCACUGAUCCCAGUGCAGGAUUCCAGAGAAUCCAUGGAAUGUUCCACUGAUACCAGCACAGGAUUCCAUGGAAUGUCCCACUGAUCCCAGUGCAGGAUUCCCAUGGAAUCCAUGGAAUGUUCCACUGAUACCAGCACAGGAUUCCAUGGAAUGUCCCACUGAUCCCAGUGCAGGAUUCCAUGGAAUGUCCCACUGAUCCCAGGCAGAAUUCCAGGGAAUCCAUGGAAUGUCCCACUGAUCCCAGUGUGAGAUUCCCAUGGAAUCCAUGGAAUGUCCCACUGAUCCCAGGCAGAAUUCCAGGGAAUCCAUGGAAUGUCCCAAUGAUCCCAUGCAGGAUUCCAGGGAAUCCAUGGAAUGUCCCACUGAUCCCAGUGCAGGAUUCCAUGGAAUCCAUGGAAUGUUCCACUGAUACCAGUGCAGGAUUCCAUGGAAUGUUCCAUUGAUCCCAGUGCAGAAUUCCAGGGAAUUCCAGCCAUGAUCCAGGAUCUGGGCUCAGGUAUUCCCGAUCCUGGAGCUUUUCCAUAGGGCAGGGAAUCGAUUUCCUUGGAUACCCUGAGCCCCUGAGAUUCCCAAACCUGCCAUUCUUUGGAAUUGGAGAACUUGGCUCAUCCCUCCUCCCUCCCCCUGAGCUGGGAACGGGAUCCUGGGAAAAGGAGGAUUCAGAAAUCCCUCUGGAUCCUCUGGAUCCUGCUGGAGCUUCCCUGUCCCAUCCCGGAGCCGCGGAUUUUUCGGGAAGAGCCAUUCCCGCCUCCGGCUGCUCCGUGGGAAGGGCGCUGGAGACCCGGGAUAAAAUUAUCCCAAACCUCCCACGGGGUCCGAGAUCGGAGCCGGAUUUUAAGGAGACAGGAACACGCCCGAGCUCGGGUUGGUUCCUCCGGAAUAAUUUAUGGAUUAAAUUAAAUCCAAUCGGAAAACUCAUUCCCGAAAAAGUGGCAAAUCCAGGAAAAAUCCAGGGAAUCUGCUGAGUUUUCCCCUGCUGGGAUCCUGGAGGUGCUGGAGCAAAACUUGGGAUCAUCCCAUGGGAAUGGGCUCUGUGUGACCAGCAGCGGGUGGGAUUCCAAAAGUUUUCCACUUGUUUUUCCCUCUGGAAGCAGGGAAAAAACUCAUUCCAGGGAAUCUUGGCACAUCCCAGAAAAAAACCGGGAUGGGGAGAGAUGAGAGGCUCGGGAAGCUGCCAACAUUCCCAGGGCUGGAAUUUAUGGGAACAGCUUGGAAAAGUCAGGGAUGUGCAGCCAGGGAGGAUUUUUCCAGAGUAUUCCAAAGGUUUUCUUUCCGUGUUUUGUUCUGGCAACUCUUCCUCCUCCCUUUUAAAUCAUGGAAAAGCCGGAAUUCCAAUAAAAUCCCAGUUGGAUUUAUCCGGGAGCAGCUCCCGGCAUUGGACAGCCCGGGAGUGUCCCGCUGGAAUUCCAGAGGUUUUUCCUGAUGUUUCUCAGGAUGUGUUGGGAGCUCCCAGCCCUGAUCCCUCAAUCCUUGGAAUGCCAGAGUGGGAAUUCCCGCAGGAAUGUGGAUUCCAAGGGUUGGGAAUGCCUGGAAAAAUGAGGGAUGAGGGGUCGCUCCUCUUCCCACCAAUCCCUCGCCUCUAUCCCAAGGAUUUUCCAUUCCCGGUUUUCCCGGUCCUUAUAUCCCAAAAUCCACCUCAAUCCUGAAAUUCCUCUCUCCUUUCUCCGCUGUCCAGGGGAACACUAAAAAAAAAAAAAAAAAAAAAAAAAGGAAAA